AUAUAUAUACGUUGUGUGUGUGUAUAUAUAUAUAUAUUUAGAGAGAGAGAGAUAGAGAUAUAUAAGAAAUGGCUCAUAUGAUUAUGGAGGCUGCAAAGUCCCAAGAUCUGCAAUCAGCAAGCUGGAGAUCCAGGAGAGUUGAUGCUGUAAGUUCCAGUCUGAGUUUGAGUCCAAGUUUGAAGGCAGGAGACUGAUGUCCCUGCUUGAAGACAGUCAGGCAGAGAGAGAGAGAAUUCUUUCUUUCUUAGCCUUUUUAUUCUAUUCAAGCCUUCAACGGAUUGGAUGAGCCCAACACAUUGAGGAGGGCAAUCUGCUUUACUCAGUCUACCAAUUCAAAUGUUACUCUCAUCCAGAAACACCUUCAACCUUCACAGACACAACUAGAAAUAAUGUUUAACCAAAUAUCUUGGCACCCUGUAUCCCCAUUAAGGUGACACAUGAAAUUAACCAUCACAGGUACUGUGCCCUGGAGUGCUCCAGUAUAGAAAGGACCAUCUGAUUUUACAGGGUGGGUGUGUGAUGUCUGUACGAUACCACAAUAUUCAAAAAUUAGAUUAGAACUUUUGGGGCUGAACAUAAGGUAUUCAUGUGACAUUCGUGGCUUAAUUUAUCAGUAUGCAGUUUUCUUCUGUCCAAUAUUUUGCACUUAAGUAGUUCUUCUAGAUGCUUGGAUAUGAUUUGCAUUAAAAUGCAUUUAAAAAGACAGAUGAAUUGAUAUUGGAAGAAGGAAUUUGAUUCUAUUGUAGACUAUUGCUUUUUUCUAGGAGAAAGAGACUGAGUUAGCAAAUGGAACCUGGAUCCCUAAGAACCUCCUGAUUCUCUGUUCCUGACCAACUCAUAGAGUUACUAUGAGCCUUCCGUGCUACUGUACUUGUGUACAAAUUUGGAAUAUGAGGAGCCAAUUUAGUUGGAUAGGUUUUGCAGGGAAUAAUUACUCUUUCUUUCGUCAUCUUCGUCUGCCGAGCCAGAGGUAUUAUGGCCUAGGCCUGAGGACUAACUUUGCAGGUUGGAGGAUUGAGCUUAAAAAGCAAGAAUUGUGUGAGGAGAGUGGUUCUUUCCUUGUCUUAUUCCACCAGAAAUGCUUCUCAGAAGAUGAGUCUAGAUGGCUUAAGUGGCAUAAUGGCAUUUGUAUAACAAGACUCCACUAGGAUAGAGUAAAGGAAGCCAGAAAAUCAGCAAUUUUAUUCUCAUGAAGCAGGGCAUGUUUCUUAAACUUGGGUGCCCAUAGCCCUGGGAAUAUUGCAAGAUACAGAAUAAACACAGUGUCUUCUUGAAGCACCAAUUCUGUCUAAUAAUUUUUGGGGAAAAUGAUUUUAUAUUCAAACAGAUGCUUCACUGAGUAUAAUACAAAAUGAACAAAAAUUUAAAAAAUUGCAACAUAUGAGUUCAAAGAAGUUUUAUGCUUGUUGUCAGCUGUUAGGUGUUGUAACCCCUUUCCUUGGAGUAUGUGUAUACCUUCUUCUUUAAUUAAAAAGAUUUAGUUGGAAAAGAUUGAGAGUUCUGGCAAAGACCAUUUGCAGGUAACAGACUCUUAUCAAGUCUCUUACUUGGUUUCUAGACUCAAACGUUUUGUUGAUUUUGCUGUCUGAUCCUGAGCAGUACACCGGCCCUCUCUUUACCUGUACCUCAUUUAUAAAGCUGAAAUAAACUUUUGUUUGUCUAAACACUUCAGGCUGAACCAAAUGAUCUCUUGAACCUCUUUGAGCUCUUGGCGCUUCAGUUUUCACUGGGCUUGAGAAGAGGGAAGAGCUCUUAUGACAUUUGAGAAGUGCAGUGGUUCUUGGCGAUGAUAAAUUGCCCACGAUGUGGAGAUGGGGAAGAGAAAUGGAAGAGAAGGUGCCCAAAUGAGAAGGACAUGGACUGAGGACCACCAGAGAAGUUUGCACUGUGAAGUGAUGGAUGCAUACAGACCACUCACUCUAGCGAUUGUCUUUUUGAAGGACAAUGGAGGGGAUUUUUAGGUCCUUGGGAGCUGCUGCCCUGAAUUUGAGAAAGACCCCAUUCACUUACUGAGAUCGUCUCUCACUUUUCUUCCCAUAUACCCAAUUGUGUUGACAGGUAAGUGUGGUCUCACUCACUGAGUCACCUCAGAAUUCUAAUUUGUCAGGGCAGUCUCCAGACAGUCACUAGAAGUUGUUAACGUUGGCUGCUUUCUUCUUAUGCCUGAUCACAGAGGAUUCUUCUGCCGACUGCUGCUCCACCAGAGAUAAAAGAAGUCAUAGUUUCCCCAUCUCCUGGGAAAGGCUUGUCACUUUAUUUAUUUUGUUUAAUUAAUUUUCUGUCUCCUCAGUUACCCAGUAAAUUAAAACAACAAAACAAAAACAAUGAGUUCUAACUCACCCAGUCUUUUCUUAUUAGAGUGAGAGUAACUGUCUCUUGUGAUUUUUUGUGCCCUAACCAGAAGUUGACAGUUCUGCCAUUAUUGCCCAUAUUUUCUGUUGUUUGCCUGAGUUUUUAAUUUUCUACGUAUAAAAUGGCACUAUUUUUCGUUCCUGAUUCGACAUAAAGAUUUGUAUGAGGCUCUGAUGUUCUCAGAAUUUCAGUAUUGUGAGGUGCAAGGAUCCUCUCCUCUUUUCUUCUUUUUUGGAUAUGGAGGUGUAUCCUUGUUCAGGUCCUCCAAUUCAACCAGACACUGCUGAGUAAAUAGUCAUUGGCAGUUAGCUCACUUGAAGCCAAUCCUGGGAAUGGUUUCAUUUCUAGGACAUUCUUGCAACCAGAGAUCUCAUGGACAUUGGAGCAACUGACCAAACUCAAGUUGAAGAAUUACUCACCAGCAACAAGGAGUUUACAAUUUUCUUGAAGUUUAAUAGAAGGCAAGAGGCCUGAAAUGUCAGAGAAAUGAAUUCAUUGAUAAUAUUCCCUUUUAUUACUUGCACCUGGGGUGGACAUCUCCCAAUGAUCUGGCCUUGGUAUGCCACUGCUUGGAGGCACAAAAGUCUUUCUUGGGUUCCAAAAGAGCAAGAGGAGCAUGGAAGGCCUUGGGAGGGUGAGGUCAGAACUGGCACACCAUCAUUUCUGCUGGAUUCUACUCACUGACUAAAGCAAAUCACAAGAGUCAGGUGGAGAGGAAAUAAACUCUGCUUCUUGAUGAAAGGAGCUACGACAUCACAUUGCAAGAUGUCACAAAGAGCAUGGGCGCAAGGAGCAAUGAAAAAGUGUGGGCUUUUUUUGAAAUCUACAUCAAAACCCCUUGGGGCCGACCCCGUGGCCGAGUGGUUAAGUUCGCGCGCUCCGCUGCAGGCGGCCCAGUGUUUCGUUGGUUCCAGUCCUGGGCGCGGACAUGGCACUGCUCAUCA